rnacentral:rRNA from 1 species
GGGGGGGAAUGCGCUGCCUACACAUGCAGUCGAACGAGGUGUAUACUUUAGUGUGCGGACGGGUGAGUAAUACGUGAGAAUUUACCUUUGGGAACGUGAUAAGAAUUGGAAACUAUUGCUGGUGUCCUAUGUGCUUAGCAGUGAAACACAUUUAUCUGCCUGAAUAUGAGCUCUCGCCUGAUUAGCUAGUUGGUAGAGUAAAAGCCUACCAGGGAAACGAUCAGUAGCUGGUUAGAGAGGACUAUCAUCCACACUGGAACUGACACACUGCCCAUACUUCUACGGAAGGAAUCAUUGGGGAAUUUUCCGCGAUGAACGAAGGCUUGAGGGAGCAAUACCGCGUGAGGGAAGAAUGCCUGUGGGUUGUAAACCUCUUUUUUUAGGGAAGAAAAUAUGACGGUAACUAAGGAAUAAGCAUCGGAUAACUCCGUGCCAGCAUCCGCGGUAAUACGGGGGAUGCUAGCGUUAUCCGGAAUUACUGGCCGUAAAGCGGCUGCAGGUGGCUUAGAAAGUCUGCUGUUAAAUAUUACAGCUCAACUCUGAGUAAGCACUGGAAACUGUUAUGCUAGAGUAUGAUAUGGAUAAAGGGAACUCCCGGUGUAACGCUGAAAUGCGUAGAUAUUGUCAAGAACACCGGUAGCGAAAGCGCUUUACUAGACCAUUACUGACACUCAGAGACGACAGCUAGGGCAGCAAAUGGGAUUAGAUACACCAGUAGACCUACUCGUAAACGAUGGAUACUACAUGUUGCGUGUAUCGACCCAUGCAGUAUCUCUACUAAGGCGUUAAUUAUCCCGCCUGGGAACUAUGCUCGCAAGAGUGAAACUCAGAUGAAUUGACG